rnacentral:ncRNA from 2 species
AUUUUAUCCAGAGAGGUGGAGGGAUUUGGCCCUACGAAACCUCGGCAACAGAUCAGAUUAUGAUACUGUGCCAAUUCCAACAAGCAUAACCGUGCUUGGUAGAUAAGGU